CUCACACAGAGAAAGCCAAGACAGCAACUGUCAGGGGAUCGAUAUCUUCCAGCUUAGGAGGAAUCGAUCCCCAGCAGAGUCUCAAGGCAGCCUUCUCCCUCUCGGGGGUUUGGAAAAUGCAUUCCAGAAACAGACCCGGAGCCCAACCCAACUAGGAAGUAGGACCACAAUGGGAGGCUCCGGCCGGAGUUCAGAAGAGGCAGGAGGACAGUCCACAGUGGUGGAUAUGUACCUCCUGGAAUAUGAAGUUCUUUGAGCAAGACGCUGGGAAGUCCAACUCUGAAGACCCAGAGGAAUUCCUUCGCAGUAGGCGAGGCUUGAAGUGUUGGGAGAGACUCCACUGUGUCCUAAGUUCAGAGCGGAUGUGAGAAUCCAUGUUUCUUUGGUUGCCAGAAAGGUCCCCCAAAGCAAUGUGCCAUUUAAUAGCCUCAAAGUUCCUGGUUGCAUGAGCGAUUGUGAUCUUCCUUUCUCAGAGGACUUGAUCACUUCUUUUGCCUUCGGGGAUAGAUUGAUUGACAGAUGGCCUCAAGUCCACUCCCUUCCUGGAUUCAAACCCUUUGCUGGCUGUAUUGGCAUUUCUUCCUCGUCGUAUGAGGGCUGGAGUGGGGGACUGUGUCCCUUGUCCUGACUUCAGGCUCAGUCCUGUGAUUUACUUUGGCCCAGAGAGUGAUCACAGAUGUUAACUCUUUUGCUUUUGCUGUGAGCAUGAGCCCCAUGGAGCAAAGACGAAUUGACCCAGUUGUCCCAGAUGAGGGCCCAGAGUGUGAGAGAGCACGGCCAAGAUUGCAAACUUGCCUGAUCCUGCUGCAGUCAACCACAGACGGGAGAGUGAGUGGGCCCAGGCAGUUACCACAGAUCCCGGAGCAAAAAAAAAAGAAAAAAAAAUGGUGUUUACUAGAUGCCAUUGAGGUUUUGAGGCUGUGUGUUACGAAGCACUGUUGGGACAACAUGAUUGAUAAAAGUCGGAAAUUACUCUUAUAUUUGGUUCAAGGAAGAAACAUGAGCACCAAAGGCAAUUUUUUCAACUCACAAAAAUUCUAUGUAUGUGUAGUGUAGAGCCUGAUGUUUUGACACAUACAUACAUUGUGAGGUGUCUAGAUUUAACUAGUUAUCAUACGUACUACCUCACAUAACACCAAAAAUUUACUGUCUUAGCAGUUUUCAAGUCUACUAAUGCUGUGAUUAACCAUAGCCGCCAUAUUAUUCGAGAGCUCUCUUGAGCUUCUUCCUCCCCUCUAACUGAAAGGAGUCCAGAAAAAUUAAAAAUGCUGAAGGUCUCCUUUUACCUGAUUUCAAAAUAUACUACAAAGCCACAGUCAUCACCACAGCAUGGUACUGGCAUAAAAACAGACACACAAAACAACUGAAGAGGCUCGAAAGCCCAGAAUAAAUCCAUAUACCUAUGGUCAGUUGAUUUUCCCCAGAUGCAAAGCACACUCAAUGCGAGAGGAUAGUCUCUUCAAUAAAUGGGGCUGGGAAAAUGAGAUAUUCACAUGCAGACAGGUGAAACCAACCCUGGACCUCACACCAUGUGCAAAGAUAACCCCAAAACAGAUAAAAGACUUUCACAUAAGACCAGAAACUGUAAAAACACUAGGAGGAAAGAUAGGGGAAUAGCUCCAUGGUAGGGUCUGGGCGAUGACUUUUUGGAUAAAAUCCCCAAACAUAGGCAAAAGGAGGUGAAAAUAGACCAGUGAGAUCGCAUGCAGCUGAAAUGUGUCUGCAGAGCAGAGGAGACCACCCACAGGGUGAAGAGGCCACGGAGGCAAGGGCCACACGUCUGGUAAGGAGCUCAGGUCCCAAAUGAAGAAGGAGCACGGGAUGUGUUUUUGCUCAAUGUCUAUGUCAUGUGUUCCCUGAUGCUGUGGGCCCCUGACCUUGGGUGUGGGCACCCUGCUGUCUUUAUUUGAAUAUUGGUAGCUUUACUUCUUGUGUUUUAAUGUGACUUUCCUAUCUGGGAAACAGCCUGGUGUUUGGAUGCAUUUUGUGGUUGGAAGGGAAAUCAGAUUAGAGGUCCUGCUUCUCACAGCUCCAGGGUAAACUUGGAUGGGAACAAAAUCAGAAUAAUAAAGGCUGAUGUUUACAGGAGAACAGCUUAAAGGAGUCUGGUACACGUUCACUCAUUGCUUCAGGGUAACUCUACUAUCACCCCCAUUGUAUGAAUGGGGAAACUAAGGUCUAGGGAGGUCAUGUAACUUGCCCAAGGACACUUCAAGAAAUCCAGGCAGCCAAGUGCCACAGCCCAUGACCUUGACCACAGCAUUAUCUAUCGGCUCCCACAGACCUGGAGCCCAUGGGGCCCAUAUGCUCCGGGCAGACAUAAGCCCCAUGCAUUUCUCCCUUCAGCAGGCCAGGGAAGUUCUUGCCCUCGCUGGCCAAGAAAGAGCACUUUCCUGAAUGUUUCCCCCCAGGACUAACAGCAACUCCAUGAAGAUCCCUUGUCGAAGAUCCCUCCUGGCUCCUUCCCCUCCUGUGAUCAUAUCAGCCUACAUUUAUUGUUCUGAGUGUUUGCAAGAAAUAAAGCUUUACU